AGCAUCCUCUCCAUCGCAUUAAAGUUUAUAUUCCGAGCUCCCAAAAAUUUCCCCACUAGACAAAGCUUGUAGUUAAUAUCCUCUUCGUAGGCAUCAUCCGGUGACACAACCAAUUCAUCCUACUCCAUCUCACGUAUGGACAACGAAGGAAACCAGUCUCCAUUAACAACCAAAAACAAAAACUAAAAUAAAAUAAAAAAACCCAACGCCAAAACACAC
rnacentral:lncRNA from 1 species